AACGAACGCUGGCGGCAGGCCUAACACAUGCAAGUCGAACGCGAAAUCACCUUCGGGUGGUGGAGAGUGGCAGACGGGUGAGUAACGCGUGGGAAUCUACCUGAUGGUACGGAAUAACUCAGGGAAACUUGAGCUAAUACCGUAUGUGCCCGAAAGGGGAAAGAUUUAUCGCCAUCAGAUGAGCCCGCGUCGGAUUAGCUAGUUGGUGGGGUAAUGGCCCACCAAGGCGACGAUCCGUAGCUGGUCUGAGAGGAUGAUCAGCCACACUGGGACUGAGACACGGCCCAGACUCCUACGGGAGGCAG
rnacentral:rRNA from 1 species